rnacentral:rRNA from 1 species
AAGAGCCUGAGAAACGGCUACUACAUCUACGGAAGGCAGCAGGCGCGUAAUUACCCCCUCCUGACUCAGGGAGGUGGUGACAAGAUAUAACAACGCAAUUUCAUUGUGAUUGUAGUGAGGGUAUUCCAAACCGAACCACUAGUACGAUUAGAGGGCAAGUCUGGUGCCAGCAGCCGCGGUAAUUCCAGCUCUAAUAGCGUAUAUUAAAGUUGCUGCAGUUAAAAAGCUCGUAGUUGGAUUUCAAGGAUUACAUAUUCCUUUGUUUUUGUUUACCCUACUAGCCUUUCAAGCUGUUACUGUGAGAAAAUUAAAGUGUUUAAAGCAGGCUCAUGCAAGAAUACAUUAGCAUGGAAUAACGAAUGAGUCUAGAAUCUUGGUAAUCUAUGUCCCCCACCGCGACGUUGGGGGCAUUAGUAUUUAAUUGCAGAGGUGAAAUUCCUGGAUUCGUCAUAUACUACGUAUGCAAAGCAUUGCCAGGAUGUUUUCAUUAAUCACAACCAACAUCAGGAUCAAGACAAUAGAUACUGUCGUAUCCUAUCUAUAACUAUGCGACUAGGAUGGAUGAAACAUCACCAUUUCAGUACCUUAUGAAAAUCCAGUCUUUGGUCCUGGGGGGAUAUUGCCCAGACUGAACUUAAGAAAUUGACGGAAGGCAC